UUAUAAGUGGUCACUCUUUGUCAUUUGUAAGUUGUUUGCUCUGCAGCACAGAUACUUUAAGAUUCUGAAUCUCAGACUGAUAGGAUCCUGUCCCUGAAAAGAUGGAUGGGGACACAGGCCCCAGGGAAGUGACUAGAUCAAGGUCACACAGGGAACCGUGGCAGAGCUGGAGCUCAAACAUGGGUGUCUGACGUCUAAUCUAGGCCUCUUACUCUUGUGUCACUGCUAAAUCAGAUUAUUAUUUUAAACAGGACGUUGGUGAUCACCUGGUCAGACUCCCUCCCACACUGGGAGGAAGUGAGGCCCAGAGAAGUUUGAUGAGCAGACAGUAUGGAAAUCAGGAGAGCAGGAGUUUCUCCGACCAAUGUACAGAUGAGCUAAACUCCAGGUGCUCUGCACAGGUCCUACACAGAGUUGGUGCUCGAUAAAUGAACGCGCCAUGAAAGAAUUGAGUCAGCGGAGAGGGGAAGUUCUGGAAGAGGAGGUGAUUGAUGGUCCUUAAUCCUGGAAACCUCUUUAACAAAGAAAAUACUUCAUCAUGUGAUGUGGAAACUGAGUCCGAGAAGAGAGGUUGGGACUUGCCUAAGAUCAUUGAUUUAUGCUAGCACAAACUCCAGUGGCAGUCUUCAGACCUGAGGGGGGUGCUUAUAGGAACACCCCUUCCCUAAGGGGGCAGGACCAGAAGAAAUGGCUUUGAAUUGCGAACAAAAGGAUCCAGGUGAGAUAUAAGGAAGAAUUCCAGCUGUAAGAAUGGGUAACAUAAGAAGACUGGAACCACCUUCUCUGGGAUGGGAUGAGAUCCCCUCUAGGGGGUUGCCUGAAAUGAUCUCAGCACUGCAUCUCCCAGGGGCACCGCUCUCACAUCAGUCCUUUUCUUUGGGAGUCCAAGGGAUUCAAGAUCCCUCUCCCAGAGACCGGCGCCAUGGCUGGUGGCUGGGGGAACUUGAGAGGCCAGUCCUGGAACAGGUGCAACAGCUGGAACAACUGCGCAGCUGUUACCCAGCUCCUGCUCAGCAGCCAGCUAGCCAGUGAGUGAGACAGAGACCUCUACUGGUGGGAGUGAGGAAGUGCAGAACCACCUAGACCGACCCAGAGAGGGGCCUGCCUGGAGCCAGAUGUCAAGCCUUCACUCAGGUGUCCCCCUCCCCCGUGUAAAUCUGGACAGGUAGAUGGGGAUGCAACUAAGCUGAAAAGCAGGGCAGGGUCCCUGCCGGUGGGUCCCCCUACACACCCACUGUUCUAGGCCUCCUAAGUACUGGAGGGGCCACUCCUGGUGUCUGAGGAUCUAUUGACUCCUCCCUAGCAGGACAGGAGUACAAGGCUGCAGACCUAAACACCCUGACUUCCUUUCCCGAAGCCCAGAACAGACUCAGAAUCAAGGCAACAGCAUCUUUGGAUCUUAGAGUCUUAGAAUCAUGGGAUAUUAAAGCCAGAAGUGUCCUCAGUGAUUGUCUCUUGGGGUCAACCAUCUCUCUUUACCGCUGGGAAAACUGAGGGGGGGAGAGAAAGGCAACUUGUCUGGUGUCUGCGUGGCUGGAAUUAGUAGCAGAGCCAGACUGAGGCCCUGACCUUCUGAUUCCAAGUUUGUCCUCUGUACUACUUCAUAUGAUGGGAGCUCCCUUCCUGCCCUAUCUCUGCUUCUGCAGUCUGGGAUUCUGUCACUUGGGAACAGAAGCCUCAAUUCCCACAGUUCACAUCACCUUUGGAGAGAGGCUAGAGCAAUUGACGGUUUUACCUGAUAACUGACUGUCUCUUGAAAGCAGGACUGGACAGCGGGAGGGAAGAGAAAGCAGAAGCGAGCCGGAUACCUUACGGGCAGGAGGGGGGUGGCAAUAGUAAGGGAGGAGCACAAGGAAGAGGCACUGACAUAGGGGGAAGAGUACCGGAGAGGGAGUCAAGAUACUAGGCCGGUUCUCAUUCCACAGAGAAAUGGAUACCCAAACUGACUAACAUCAUACAUGUAUGUGUCUUCACCUGGGGCUGGGGUCAGUACCAGUCAGUGACCAGGUCACAGACCUGGAAUCGGGGUUAAGUCCGUGGUCAGGGCUUUGAGGAUCAGGGCUCAGCCUGUGGCCAGAGUUGAGACUCAGUCCGGGUUGAAUUCAAUCUGUGGCUGGAAACGGAGCCAAGGACAGAAUAACCUUUGUUUGAAUAGCCUUUUUGCACUGUAACUGAGGAGCAAACUGCCAUGUGUGUUCACAGGCCUUUGGCAUUCCGCAGGGCUGAGCCACCUCAGGAGUCUGACAUGACACAGACUUGAGAAUUCCCAUCCGUUGGUAUCACUUCUGAAAGCACCUAAGGUGUCACCAGGAGAUUUCUUAUGUACAACGGGCCUUAGAUCUUACUUGAACUAAGACAAGGACCAUCACAAGACACCUCCAAAUAGGACUCUGGCAAAUGACUAUAGAAUAGGAUUGUUCCAGGGCGCCUGGGUGGCUCAGUCGGUUGAGCCUCCGACUUCAGCUCAGGUCACGAUCUCACGGUCCGUGAGUUUGAGCCCCGCGUCGGGCUCUGGGCUGGUGGCUCAGAGCCUGGAGUCUGCUUCCGAUUCUGUGUCUCCCUCUCUCUCUCUGCCCCUCCCCCGUUCAUGUUCUGUCUCUCUCUGUCUCAAAAAUAAAUAAACGUUAAAAAAAAAAAAAAAAGAAUAGGAUUGUUCCUAGAUUCAUAGAUUGUCAGCACUAGACAAAGUGAGGCUCCGAGCAGGGAAGUGAUCUGUUCAAAUUCACACAACCCAUAAGCAACAAAUCUAUUCUUUAAUAAAUUUGCUGUGUGAACUUGGGCAAGUCACUCCCACUUUCUGGGCUUCAGUUUAACUAUAGGAAAAUUGGGGGGGCGGGUAGAAGCAGACGAUUUUCUAAAUUUUUUUUAAUGUUUAUUUAUUUUGAGAGAGAGACAGAGCAUGAGCAGGAGAGGGGCAGAGAGAGAGGGAGACACAGAAUCCGAAGCAGGCUCCAGGCUCCGAGCUGUCAGCACAGAGUCCAACGUGAGGCUCAAACUCACAAAAUGUGAGACCAUGACCUGAGCUGAAGUCGGGUGCUCAACCGACUGAGCCGCCCAGGUGCCCCAGAAGCAGGUGAUAUUCAAAGGCUCUUUCAGCUCUGACAUCCCAGAAUCUGAACAUACCCCUCUGAAUGCCAGUCCACCUCACUUUAACUCAAGUCUGCUCUGAGUUGUUUUCUUGUGUGUCUGUCGCUAAGACACUGCCUGAAGGCCAGUGGAGGCACAGAGGAAGGAGAGCAGAGUGGAUCAGGUGGCCAGGGAAAGUUUGCUGGAAGAAGUUUGACCUGGCAAGGUGGUGAAGGCCUGACAAGAUAUGGGAGGCCAAGAGCAGGGGUGUGGGUAGGACAAGAGCAAUCCUGCACAACGAUCUGAUUCUAGGACAUCUUUCCAAGAUGCAUCAGGGGCAAUGGUACCCGGAGAAACACCUUGGGAGCUAAGAACGAUGUGCCAAGAGGAAGGGAGGCAGGCAUUAAGGGCAUUCUGUACUAAGUCCCUUUUAAGAAACAACAGGUAAGUGUUAGGAGGAAACCUCCAGGGCCCAAGGAAGGGGAGGAGGAAUUUACUGAGUACUAGGCAUUGUGCUGGCUGACUGAACACAGUCACUUCCCUUAAUCCUCCCAAGAACUGUUUGGGUUCCAGGUAAGUAUGUGUCUUAGGUGAUGAAAUCGAGGCUCAGAGAAGUUGUGACUUAUGAGAAGUCACACAGCCGCUAAGGGGCAGAGGCAGGACUUGAACCCAACAGAGUUCCUUCCAUUACUUGUUACUAAGGACUUCUAUGAGUCUCAUGCUAAGGGCAGCCCAGAGACGACCAGACUUGCAGCCUGCCCUUACAAGCAGAGACAAGAAUGAAACAAAAUCCAGCACUGCCAGCUCAGGAAAGUCGUGUGCCAAAGAAAGGCAGCAAUGGGGGAGUGGAGCUGUGGGGAGGGCAGAGCGCUAGGCGGGGAGUUGGGAACCUGGGGUCUUCAUCCGAGGCUCUGCGCUGUGUAACCUGGAGCAAACCACUGCCCCUCCUUGUCCUCAGUUUCUUUAUCAGGUAUUUCAGGGUUUGAACUAAACUCCUUCCUUCUCAUCAAGAGAAUCUUGGUUUUGUUUUCCAUCCUCACAGUAUUCUAAGAGACUGGGGAUGGAGAGGAGGUCCAGGAGCCUCUGGCAGAGGCAGUGAGGGAACUGAGCUGCAGAGAGAUUAUAUAAACUGUUUGAGGUUACACUAAGUGGAGAAGCAUGAAUUCGGGAACUGAUUUUUUUUUUUAAGACGCUACCAUGUACCAGCUAGUUGCUUUAUUAUAUUUUCUCUGAUUUAAUUCUCACAACAGUCCUGGGAUUUUUGACUCCCAUUUUAUAGAUUGGGAAACUGAGGCUUAGAGAGGUGCCCUCCAUCAGCUGGUAUUCAGAAGAUCUGGGAUAGUGAAGACUGGUCUAUCUCCCUGUGCCCUGCUGCCUCCCAGGGUCUUACAGCUCCAAAUCAGGGUUCCUUCCAGAUGCUUUGCUGUGCAGCAGGGGGAAAAGCAUAGGAUUUGGAAUUGGAGAGCUCUGGCGUUGGAUGGCUUACUAGCUCUGUAAACUUCAGCAAGUUUCUUCUGUUACCCUAAGUUUUCUCAUCUGUAAAAUGCAAAUGAUAGUACCCACCUCUUGGGAGUCACGUGAGGAUCACAACGGAUAACAGAAUGAGGUUACCUAGCGAGCUCUUCUUUCUUUGCACCGGCUCCCUUUGAAUACAAUAGUCUUUACAUCUCCAUCACCUUCUUCACACCCUUGCAGCCAAACAUACCCUGCUCUCUGCUGAGAAUAUGAAGCACCACCACCAGCCUACACACAUGCGCACAGUGUCCUGCCUUCUCUCCCACUGCCCUCAGUCCCCCUCUCCUCAGGUCCCUGGCAGCAGCCCCCCUGGCCCUGAGUUUUGCCAAGUUCCCCCCAGUAUCCCAGACUCAUCAGCCCAUACUGGUCGGCAGAGGAGUCUCCACUCUCCCCGCACAGGUGCUGGCUGGAAGGCUGCCAGAACAGUAUGGGGUCCCAAGUCCUGGCACUUUCCCUGCACAUCCCAGGGGCUCGCAUCCCUCCUCUGCUUAUCCAGCCCUCCCCUCCCCUACUUACGGGCUCCGGCGUGAGAAUCCAAGGGGAACCAGAGCAGCGCGAGUCCCAGCAAGGAGGAGAGGACCCUUACCUCGGGAACCAUCCUUCCUUCCCCCGGGGCCAGGCCGCCAGGCGCUGAGCCAGGAGGGGCGUCGGGAGAAACUGAGAUGAGGACACUGAGGCACAGGGGCACAAAAGCAACCAGGGGGGGGGGGGGGGCUGCUGCUACAGUGGAGAGUCAGAGAAGGGUCGAGUAGGCGGUGAGAACAGAAAGAGAGGUCCAAGGUGGGAAUAAGAGGAAGGUAGAAAGAGGACAAGGGAAAAGGAAAGACAGAGAGAUGGAGAGAUGGAGGAAGGUACGGCAAGAAGGGAAAGCAAUAAAAGCAAAGGAGAAGGUGAGAGGGAGGGGAGGAGGAGAAAGACGGGGAGGACAGGGGUCUGCAGAGCGCGCAGCGUUGGGCGAGGCGCGCGGGAGCAGCGGGCGAUUCCCGGCGCGCGGGCUAGAAUCGGCCGGCGCCCCCUGCUCGGUGGGCUCGGGGUCGGGCUGCGGGGUCCUGGGGCCCGGCGGGGCGGCGGUACCGGCGGCGGCGGCGGCGACGGCGCGGCUGCCACGGGGGCUGGCUGAGCGCGGGCCGGCUGUGCACGCCAAGGGCGCCAGGCGCCGCGCUCGGGCGCAUUUGUACUUUGCCGCGGGAAGCAGGCAGCCCCGGCCUGGCGCUGGCCUAGCGCUGGCGCCUCCUCUGGGGCACCGCGGGCUCGGUGGAUUGGCCACCCGAGAAACAGGCCCACUUUACCCCUCCUCUCUGGUGCGGGUCUCUGGGACGCACGCUCCAGGCGCGGCGCCGAGAGGAGGCGAGAGGGCUGGGGAGGGGGAAGGGGCCACCCGGGCCACGGGCUUUAACCCCUGACUCCCCGCGGCGCCCAGAGAGCAGGAGGACGCAACCCAGUUAGGCUUCAGGUGAAACUUGGGGGCUGGGAAGGAUGAGAUGCUCGGGUGGGAGAGGCGAAGCGAGCUGCGGGACCCGCGAGGCGCUCAGGGUAGGGCUCUGGGCGGUGCGUGCACAUCACUCUCGAUGGAGUCAGGCAGGACACUUGCCAUUCUUAAUUCUGUUUGUGGUCUUGGACACGCCAUCUCAGGAUCUAAAAUGCGGAUCUUAAUAUCUCCCCACUUCUUUUUGCGAAGAUGAAAUGAGGUAAUGAACGUCAAAGUACUCACAUCUCAAAAAGAAGGGGUCGUAAUCCCAUGCACCUAGAAUACCCUUACCAGUUCCCCUUCCUACCCACACGCUAGGUGCCUAGGUUGAAAUCCAUUCCAGCUGGAUUCUUGGCCCUUCCUCUGGAAGUCUUUCUCUACCUUUCCCCCUCCCACUCCCAAAGGAGGACAUGGUCUCUCCUUUGUCUCUGCAGGUAAGGCUCCCACCUCUCUGAGAGUGAUGACCGCGUUCAUUCCUCUUCAGUGAGAGCUGAUUGUCAGUCACCUUUCCCACCAACGUGAGCUCCCUGUGGGUGCCGCCCUGAAACCCAUGAUUAAUGCUCCAUACCGUGUGUGGAAUGAGUGCAUGAAUUAGUAGGACGCUUGAGCUUUCCAGAUAAGAAACACCCAGGCUCUGAAAUCCAAAGCCUGGGUCUCUCCCGGCUCUCUCCCUAGCUUGCUGGGCCAUUUUGGUGAAGUUCAUCCAUCCUGCUUUGGAUCUCAGCUUCCUGCCCAGCUUCUCUUGCAGAGCUACUGGAAAGCCCAGUGAGCACCCAGAAGAGUGAGAGGUGAGAUGGGAGGCCAAGCCACAUCCCACUCUGGUAGAGAAUCAUUUCUAGCUCUGCACACUUCUGGAAAGAUAGCUUCCCGUGAUAAGGCUGGGCUCCCCAUUCCCAAGUGCUGCCAGGCCAUCCCCUCCAGAACAGAGAGCAGGGGGGAGGAACCAGUGAUCUCAGAGACAGAACUUCCCCGGGGCUCUCCGAAUCAGGGACAAGCAUGAUCUGCCCCAAAGGUGCCCUUCAGGCUUAAUUUCUCCCACUCCAAUCCGGCCAGUCUCUUUCUCUCCCUUGAGUAUACCUUAUUUUAACAGAUAAUGAGAGCUAUGCGUGUCAUCGUGCUUCCCUUUUUGCCUUGCCUUUCAGGAAGCGCAGUUAAAUUUAGUGCUUAAUUGCAGAAAUAGUCUCAUCCCAAGUUUCUGAGUCAGAGAUCUUUUCCUUUCUCCAUCUUUGUUUAUUUAUUUUUAGAUGUUUAUUUAUUUUGAGAGUGUGCAUGGGGAAGGGGCAGAGAGAGAGAGGGAGGGAGAGAGAAUCCCAAGCAGGCUCUGUGCUGUCAGCCCAGAGCCUGACGCAGGGCUUGAUCUCACAAGCUAUGAGAUCAUAACCUGAGCUGAAAUCAAGAGUCAGACACUUAAGCGACUGAGCCACCCAGGUGCCCCUCUCCAUCUUUAUUUAAAGUCUGCUAUACAUAUAUAUCCGUGUCUUAGUUGUAAGAGACGAAUUAAGAUUGGCCUGUCCUAUAUCCUGCCCAUUUUACUUCAGGAAAGGUCUCUACCAUGAAACCCCAAAAUGUCUCAAUCCUUCUCUCCAUCCUCACUGCUCCCAGAGUUGGGGCCAUUGUCAUCCCUUACCGGGAUUUUGCCAACAGCUUCUAAGCAAGGCUGCCACCCCUAACCUGGGCCCCUUCAAUUUAUGUUCCUCCCAUGUGCCCUAAGAAUUAUUCUGAUUAUUUCGACUGACAAAUCUGAUCACAUCACUUUCCCCUUAAAAUCCAUGAUUGGAAAUAGAUAAAUAUAUAACAUUAAAUGCAAUGUGGUACCCUGGAUUGGAUUCUGGGACAGUAAAAGGACAUUAGUGGAAAAACUGGUGAAC